rnacentral:rRNA from 1 species
UAGGGAAUUUUCGUCAAUGGGCGCAAGCCUGAUGGAGCAACGCCGCGUGGGUGAAGAAGGUCUUCGGAUCGUAAAACCCUGUUGUUAGAGAAGAAAGUGCGUGAGAGUAACUGUUCACGUUUCGACGGUAUCUAACCAGAAAGCCACGGCUAACUACGUGCCAGCAGCCGCGGUAAUACGUAGGUGGCAAGCGUUAUCCGGAUUUAUUGGGCGUAAAGGGAACGCGGGCGGUCUUUUAAGUCUGAUGUGAAAGCCUUCGGCUUAACCGGAGUAGUGCAUUGGAAACUGGGAGACUUGAGUGCAGAAGAGGAGAGUGGAACUCCAUGUGUAGCGGUGAAAUGCGUAGAUAUAUGGAAGAACACCAGUGGCGAAAGCGGCUCUCUGGUCUGUAACUGACGCUGAGGUUCGAAAGCGUGGGGUAGCAAACAGGAUUAGAUACC